GGUUGACCUCGGAUCAGGUAGAAUACCCGGUGAA
rnacentral:rRNA from 1 species